rnacentral:rRNA from 1 species
GAGUUUGAUCCUGGCUCAGAACGUACGCUGGCGGCACGCCUAACACAUGCAAGUCGAACGAAGUAGCAAUACUUAGUGGCAGACGGGUGAGUAACAUGUAGGUAUCUGCCCUUUGGCCUGGAAUAACACGAGGAAACUUGUGCUAAUACCGGAUAAGUCUUUACGGAGAAAGCUUUAUGCACCAUUGGAUGAGCCUGCACUUGAUUAGUUUGUUGGUGGGGUAAUGGCCUACCAAGACUGUGAUCAAUAGCUGAUUUGAGAGGAUGAUCAGCCACAUUGGGACUGAGACACGGCCCAAACUCCUACGGGAGGCAGCAGUGGGGAAUCUUGCACAAUGGAGGAAACUCUGAUGCAGCGAUGCCGCGUGAGUGAAGAAGGCCCUUGGGUUGUAAAGCUCUUUCGUCGGGGAAGAAAAUGACUGUACCCGAAUAAGAAGGUCCGGCUAACUUCGUGCCAGCAGCCGCGGUAAUACGAAGGGACCUAGCGUAGUUCGGAAUUACUGGGCUUAAAGAGUUCGUAGGUGGUUGAAAUAGUUGGUGGUGAAAUCCCAGAGCUUAACUCUGGAACUGCCAUCAAAACUUUUCAGCUAGAGUAUGAUAGAGGAAAGCAGAAUUUCUAGUGUAGAGGUGAAAUUCGUAGAUAUUAGAAAGAAUACCAAUUGCGAAGGCAGCUUUCUGGAUCAUUACUGACACUGAGGAACGAAAGCAUGGGUAGCGAAGAGGAUUAGAUACCCUCGUAGUCCAUGCCGUAAACGAUGUGUGUUAGACGUUGGAAAUUUAUUUUCAGUGUCGCAGGGAAACCGAUAAACACACCGCCUGGGGAGUACGACCGCAAGGUUAAAACUCAAAUGAAUUGACGGGGACCCGCACAAGUAGUGGAGCAUGUGGUUUAAUUCGAAGAUACGCGCAGAACCUUACCAACACUUGACAUGUUCGUCGCGACUCUAAGAGAUUAGAGUUUUCGGUUCGGCCGGACGAAACACAGGUGCUGCAUGGCUGUCGUCAGCUCGUGUCGUGAGAUGUUGGGUUAAGUCCCGCAACGAGCGCAACCCUCACUUUUAGUUGCCAUCAUUAAGUUGGGCACUCUGAAAGAACUGCCAGUGAUAAGCUGGAGGAAGGUGGGGAUGACGUCAAGUCCUCAUGGCCCUUACGUGUUGGGCUACACACGUGCUACAAUGGCAUCUACAACAGGAAGCAAAACGGCAACGUUAAGCAAAUCCCGAAAAGAUGCCUCAGUUCGGAUUGCACUCUGCAACUCGAGUGCAUGAAGCUGGAAUUACUAGUAAUCGUGGAUCAGCGUGCCACGGUGAAUGCGUUCCCGGGUCUUGUACACACCGCCCGUCACACCAUGGGAGUUGGUUCUACCUUAAGGCAAGGUUUUAAACCCUUGACCACGGUAUAGUCAGCGACUGGGGUGAAGUCGUAACAAGGUAACC